GUGGGGAAUAUUGCACAAUGGGCGCAAGCCUGAUGCAGCAACGCCGCGUGAGGGACGACGGCCUUCGGGUUGUAAACCUCUUUUAGCAGGGAAGAAGCGAAAGUGACGGUACCUGCAGAAAAAGCACCGGCUAACUACGUGCCAGCAGCCGCGGUAAUACGUAGGGUGCAAGCGUUGUCCGGAAUUAUUGGGCGUAAAGAGCUCGUAGGCGGUUUGUCGCGUCUGCUGUGAAAACCCGAGGCUCAACCUCGGGCCUGCAGGGGGUACGGGCAGACUAGAGUGCGGUAGGGGAGAUUGGAAUUCCUGGUGUAGCGGUGGAAUGCGCAGAUAUCAGGAGGAACACCAGUGGCGAAGGCGGCUUUCUGGUCUGUAACUGACGCUGAGGCGCGAAAGCGUGGGGAGCAAACAGGAUUAGAUACCCGAGUAGUCC
rnacentral:rRNA from 1 species